GACGAACGCUGGCGGCGUGCCUAAUACAUGCAAGUCGAGCGAAGUUUUUCUGGUGCUUGCACUAGAAAAACUUAGCGGCGAACGGGUGAGUAACACGUAAAGAACCUGCCUCAUAGACUGGGACAACUAUUGGAAACGAUAGCUAAUACCGGAUAACAGUAUUUCUCGCAUGAGAGAUAUUUAAAAGUUGGUUAUGCUAACACUAUGAGAUGGCUUUGCGGUGCAUUAGCUAGUUGGUGGGGUAAAGGCCCGCCAAGGCGACGAUGCAUAGCCGACCUGAGAGGGUGAUCGGCCACACUGGGACUGAGACACGGCCCAGACUCCUACGGGAGGCAGCAGUAGGGAAUCUUCCGCAAUGGGCGAAAGCCUGACGGAGCAACGCCGCGUGAGUGAAGAAGGAUUUCGGUUCGUAAAGCUCUGUUGUUAGGGAAGAAUGGAUAUGUAGUAACUAUACAUGUAAGAGACGGUACCUAACCAGAAAGCCACGGCUAACUACGU
rnacentral:rRNA from 1 species